CUGGCGGCGUGCUAACACAUGCAGUCGCUCGAGAAAGGGCUUCGGCCUGAGUAAAGUGGCGCACGGGUGAGUAACACGUGACUUAUCUACCCUCGAGUGGGGAAUAACCUAGGGAAACCCGGGCUAAUACCGCAUAACACUUACGAGUCAAAGCAGCAAUGCGCUUGGGGAGGAGGUCGCGGCAGAUUAGUUAGUUGGUGGGGUAAUGGCCUACCAAGACGAUGAUCUGUAUCCGGCCUGAGAGGGCGCACGGACACACUGGAACUGAAACACGGUCCAGACUCCUACGGGAGGCAGCAGUGGGGAAUUUUGCGCAAUGGGGGAAACCCUGACGCAGCAACGCCGCGUGGAGGAUGAAGUCUCUUGGGACGUAAACUCCUUUCGACAGGGACGAUAAUGACGGUACCUGUAGAAGAAGCCCCGGCUAACUUCGUGCCAGCAGCCGCGGUAAUACGAGGGGGGCAAGCGUUGUUCGGAAUUAUUGGGCGUAAAGGGCGCGUAGGCGGUUUGGCAAGUUUCGUGUGAAAUCUUCGGGCUCAACUCGAAGUCAUGCACGGAAAACUGCCGGGCUUGAGUAUGGGAGAGGUGAGUGG
rnacentral:rRNA from 1 species